rnacentral:lncRNA from 1 species
CUGGUGUGAGCAAUUGAAUUGUGGGCUAAGAGCUGAAAGAGGCCGAGGACUCUCCAGCUCUGGAAAUCUUAAGAAAAAAGAGCAGAUGGUGGCCCUUCCAGAAGUGUGUAUGGAGGCAGGGGUGUGGGUCAGUGGACAACCUCUUGGGAGGCCUCCCUGCUCCAGCCUGGAAACCUCUGCGGCUUACUGGGCUGCGUUUGGAAAAGCUAGGCUUCUUCAGUCUCCUCCUCCUGCUUGUUAUUGGCCAGAGCUCUUCUCCUCUCUCCAGAGCCACUCCCCACCAGUCUAGGAAGCAAGAAGCCCCCCCUCAGCACCCCCAAGUUGGAGCACAGCUGCAGGGAGAGAACGGGGAGAUCUGAAUUCAGGUCCCUGUGCCCUGCUGGCAUUCCCAGGAUGGUUGGAGCGGCCCAGCUGGGAGUGGGGCUCUGGCUGGGGCUGAUGCUGUGUUCUGGCUGGAGCCUGUCCCUCCACAGCCCCAAGGCAGAUCUCCCAGGAAAUGUCACCCUGCUUUCCUGUGUCACCAUCUGGACCCAAAGCAUCACCUGUUCCUGGGACCCCGGGCCAGAUCCCGGCAUCCCCACCACGUAUACUCUGCACGUCCGCGAGGAAUUUGGACGCUGCCGGGCCCCUUUCCGAGACACAGGCCUCUGCUCUGCCCCGUGGGCCCACAGCACCUGCUCUGUCACCAUCAGGAACAUCUUCGCCUUCUACAGGGCCUGGGUCAUCGGGGAGAAUCAGCUGGGACAGACGGUUUCCCCGGCUAUGUGCCUGCAGGGCAUGAGCGUCGUGAGGCUGAGCCGACCCGAACUCAGUGCUGCCGCCCGCGAGACCUGCUGCCUGAAGCUGGUCUGGCAGCUGCCCCCGGGGGAGCUGCUGGUGGCUGGCGAAGCGCAGUACCAACUCCGCUACAGGGCUGGGCCGGAGGCUCCGUGGGUGCAGGUGGGGGUUCCCGCACCUUGGGGGAGGGGUGGAAAUAGAGGAUACCCCUGA